rnacentral:rRNA from 1 species
GCUUGUCUCAAAGAUUAAGCCAUGCAUGUCUAAGUAUAAAUAAUUCUAUACUGUGAAACUGCGAAUGGCUCAUUAUAUCAGUUAUAGUUUAUUUGAUAGUCCCUUACUACUUGGAUAACCGUAGUAACUCUAGAGCUAAUACAUGCGCAAAUUCCCGACUUCCUGGAAGGGGUGUACUUAUUAGAUGGAAACCAAUGCGGGGCAACCCGGAUUCUGGUGAUUCAUAAUAAUUAUCGGAUCGAUCGUAUGAUCGAUGCAUCAUUCAAGUUUCUGCCCUAUCAGCUUUGGAUGGUAGGGUAUUGGCCUACCAUGGCAUUAACGGGUAACGGAGAAUUAGGGUUCGAUUCCGGAGAGGGAGCCUGAGAAAUGGCUACCACAUCCAAGGAAGGCAGCAGG